rnacentral:rRNA from 1 species
UACGGGGGGGGCAAGCGUUGUUCGGAAUUACUGGGCGUAAAGGGCUCGUAGGUGGCCAACUAAGUCAGACGUGAAAUCCCUCGGCUUAACCGGGGAACUGCGUCUGAUACUGGAUGGCUUGAGUUCGGGAGAGGGAUGCGGAAUUCCAGGUGUAGCGGUGAAAUGCGUAGAUAUCUGGAGGAACACCCGUGGCGAAGGCGGCUCUCUGGUACGUGACUGACGCUGAGACGCGAAAGCGUGGGGAGCGAACAGG